UCACUACGAGGAGGCUUCGCGGCACAUGAUCACUUUUGAGAGAUGGACGUGCGCUGUCACGGGCUUUUGAAAUAUUUUGCUGGAAUUAUGGAAACAAAAUGCAUGUUAUAUUUCACAUGUAGAAAAAAAGAUAGCACGGGCAUAAUCGAGUAAUAAUUUAAGUCCACUUCACUUACAUUGUAAAUUGUUAACAAAAGGCAAUUUGACAAUGCAUACAUAUAGAGCGAUGAUCCAACUAAAAAUCUAUUACAAAUUAAUAUCUAUUUGAUGCGUUUAAGAAAUUCUCGCACAAUAUUAGCAAUGUUGUCUUUAGUUUCAUUUGCACAAUAUUUGAGCAAGUAUAAUAAAAAUGUCUUCCUCACCGGCCUUCGGGUCCGUCCACUUUCAUGCCAACCACGGUGGCCAACCUUGACCCAGGCUUCGACUUCUUUGCUUGCGCGAUGGCGGACGCCUCGCUUACUCGAAAACACCAUGAUGGACACCAUCCACCCUACCUUGCCUACCGGCAGCACUUUUCUUCCGGCACGGGCUCGCCGACCACCUCUCUCUCAGGAUCCUCUCCACAACUACACGGUGGCCGGAGCCAACCGUCCGCCAUGACUGCUCCACCACCACCCCGAGGCUCGACAUGAGUCAACUUUAAUCGUGUCAAACAUACAUUGUUUGGAUCCUCAUGCACAUUAAGCAACAUUCUUGAUUUUUUCUGCCUAUAAACCACUAUUAUUCUUCGUCUUUGUUCUCCUGCUCCUCUUCACUUACUAUCUCUACCGUCCCUAUCCAAGCCAGCCGCAAUCAUCAAUGUCCCAUCCGGCUCAAAAUCCCCAAACCUUCUACACCCAUACUAUGAAUUUUAAGGGACCUUUUGCCAUUAUUUUAUCCUUCAAAGUCUACAAACUAUAAUAUCAAUGUAGAAGUAAUUAGUGUAAACUCCUUUAUGCCCGCUCAUGGCCACUACGACCACAACUCUGUCGUCUCACCUACAUGAUGUGUGUCCACUCCCACAAUUUCCCCCUUACUCUGGCGAGGCCUCCAUUACUUUUGAAUAUUUUGUUCGGAUUAUUUGCCAUCAAGGAGAAAUUAGCAUAUUGCGCAUGAACAUAUGUGAUAAAAGUUCCUGCGAUUUGACACUACAGAGGUAGAGCAACAUGAAAAUAAAAGAGCAUGCUUCUAAUCUUCAAACUUCUUAGUUUAAAAAAAUGGCGAUAACCUUACAACAUUUUCCAGACUCUUGUCCAUACUGAAAAUGGUUCAUGCAUUAAGGAACACCACACAAAGUAUGGAAUCCAAAAAAACUAACAACAAGCGACAGUGACAUGGAUGGCUACCUUAUUGCUUUGGAAGUGGAUGGCAUGAGCCGUCGCUUAGAUGCACGAAACAGUCCCGACCAUGUACAGCUAGCCAAGAAACGUUGGGUCAAAACAAGGAGUUGGUACCUUGAGCAACGACGCCAUCGCGUUGACAUUUGCCCAACCCAACUGCUCAUGGCCAUCCUCGGCCACCACCUAUCCACCUGGACACACUCCUCUAGACCCAGGCGUUCUGAACGGCAUCCUCCCUGCUUCCCCAGCAUGAUGGCCGACUACCGUAACUUCUCUAGAGUGAAUCCUUCCAAAGGCGCUGCCGACAACAUCAUCCCUGUGGUGAUGCGUCUUCCUUCUUGUGCCUUUUGCUCCAUUGACCUCCUUCCUAUGAAAUUUCGGUAACAAGGUACAUUUCAGUAAUCAGUAAAAAAAUGCAGAUUUUAGUACAAGAGAAAUGAGCGUCUUGACAAAGGUUUAGUAGAAAUCAGAUUUCCGUACAACAAGAUAUUUUAGUACCUACUAAAAAGAAUAGUACAAGGGCAAUCAUCCGAACAAUAUCAUCAUAAGUAUGAACUAAACCUUUAGUCGCAGCAGGUACCUACUAAAUAGGAAGUGGAUGAUAUUCAUAUUACCCAUGUCAUCUCAAUAUCAUCAUAUGUUUAUUGUAGAAAAUCAUAAGCAUCAACACCACUACCUGGAAGACAUAUCUCCUAGCUUCUUUAUGAUUCAGAAUUCAACCCCAUGGAAGCUAAUAUGAAUAUCAUCUCAAGGAUCUAGAUAAAAUAC
rnacentral:lncRNA from 1 species